GUAGCAAUACGUCAGCGGCAGACGGGUGAGUAACGCGUGGGAACGUACCUUUUGGUUCGGAACAACACAGGGAAACUUGUGCUAAUACCGGAUAAGCCCUUACGGGGAAAGAUUUAUCGCCGAAAGAUCGGCCCGCGUCUGAUUAGCUAGUUGGUGAGGUAAUGGCUCACCAAGGCGACGAUCAGUAGCUGGUCUGAGAGGAUGAUCAGCCACAUUGGGACUGAGACACGGCCCAAACUCCUACGGGAGGCAGCAGUGGGGAAUAUUGGACAAUGGGCGCAAGCCUGAUCCAGCCAUGCCGCGUGAGUGAUGAAGGCCCUAGGGUUGUAAAGCUCUUUUGUGCGGGAAGAUAAUGACGGUACCGCAAGAAUAAGCCCCGGCUAACUUCGUGCCAGCAGCCGCGGUAAUACGAAGGGGGCUAGCGUUGCUCGGAAUCACUGGGCGUAAAGGGUGCGUAGGCGGGUCUUUAAGUCAGGGGUGAAAUCCUGGAGCUCAACUCCAGAACUGCCUUUGAUACUGAGGAUCUUGAGUUCGGGAGAGGUGAGUGGAACUGCGAGUGUAGAGGUGAAAUUCGUAGAUAUUCGCAAGAACACCAGUGGCGAAGGCGGCUCACUGGCCCGAUACUGACGCUGAGC
rnacentral:rRNA from 1 species